AACUAAAGUGGAAUUAUCUAGAUUUCUCUUUAUUUUUCUGCAUUCCCAUCAGCCAAAAAUGUCCUAAGGGUUUCUUCAAGCUGGUUUUUCAUAAUUUUUGCACCAAAUCCGGAAAAUUAAAAUACGAAGCAAGAUCGAGGAAAAGAAAAAGUUCGGGAUUAGUAGAUUUUUGGUUAUGAACAAGUGUCGAGAGUUAAGAGCUCGGAGGUCGGAUUUGGUUGGAGACACAUCACACUAUCAAUCUCGAGAUCUCGGUACAUAAAGGAACUUUAUUUUGGAAAUUAAUGGCAUGUAUAAGCUAGUAAAUUAGAUGUUAAUGUGAAAUGAAUGUAUGGUUAGCCAUUGGUAUGGCUAACAAAUUUUGGUUUUGGUAUGUGAUGAAAUUAUCUUAUGAAUAUGAUAAAUCUAUCUUGAAAAAAAAAUUCGGUAAAAUCUGGUAAUGCCUCAUACUCUAUUUCGGCGACGAGUACGGGUAGGGGGUAUUACAAAUCACAUGCUCAGGAUUUAGGUAAGCCACACUAUGAAUGUCACAAGUGAAUAAAUCUAUAUAAAAUCUAGAACUUAAUUCAACUUGGGUCCUAUCUAAUGUAUUGUCACUCCAAAGAAUCACAUCUAUGUCUCUAUCUUUUAGGAGUCAUCCAUUUUGAUACCCAAGACAAUGUAUCUUCUCAAUUGAAUUUAACAGACGACAUAAUAGCC